UACAGAAGAAGCACCGGCUAACUCCGUGCCAGCAGCCGCGGUAAUACGGAGGGUGCGAGCGUUAAUCGGAAUUACUGGGCGUAAAGCGCAUGCAGGCGGCCUGUUAAGUCAGAUGUGAAAGCCCGGGGCUUAACCUCGGAAUUGCAUUUGAAACUGGCAGGCUAGAGUCUUGUAGAGGGGGGUAGGGAAUUUCAGGUGUAGCGGUGAAAUGCGUAGAGAUCUGAAGGAAUACCAGUGGCGAAGGCGGCCCCCCUGGACAAAGACUGACGCUCAGAUGCGAAAGCGUGGGGAGCAAACAGGAUUAGAUACCCCUGGUAG
rnacentral:rRNA from 1 species